rnacentral:tRNA from 1 species
AAGUAAGAAGCAAAAUCUGCAUUUAAUUUCGACCUAAAGGACGGUGGCCCCCCCCCACCCUUACUUA